AGACCCGGGGAACUGAAACAUCUAAGUACCCGGAGGAAGAGAAAGCAAACGCGAUUCCCUGAGUAGCGGCGAGCGAAACGGGAUUAGCCCAAACCAGAAGGCUUGCCUUCUGGGGUUGUAGGACACUCUAUGUGGAGUUACAAAGGAACGGGGUAGAUGAAGAGGUCUGGAAAGGCCCGUCAGAGAAGGUAAAAACCCUGUAGUUGAAACUUCGUUCCCUCCUGAGUGGAUCCUGAGUACGGCGGGACACGUGAAAUCCCGUCGGAAGCAGGGAGGACCAUCUCCCAAGGCUAAAUACUCCCUAGUGACCGAUAGUGAACCAGUACCGUGAGGGAAAGGUGAAAAGCACCCCGGAAGGGGAGUGAAAGAGAUCCUGAAACCGUGUGCCUACAAGUAGUCAGAGCCCGUUCAUGGGUGAUGGCGUGCCUUUUGUAGAAUGAACCGGCGAGUUACGAUUGCAUGCAAGGUUAAGUUGAAGAGACGGAGCCGCAGCGAAAGCGAGUCUGAACAGGGCGAAUCAGUAUGCAGUUGUAGACCCGAAACCAGGUGAUCUACCCAUGUCCAGGGUGAAGUCCAGGUAACACUGGAUGGAGGCCCGAACCCACGCACGUUGAAAAGUGCGGGGAUGAGGUGUGGGUAGCGGAGAAAUUCCAAUCGAACCUGGAGAUAGCUGGUUCUCUCCGAAAUAGCUUUAGGGCUAGCCUCACGGCUUUUGAGUCUUGGAGGUAGAGCACUGUUUGGACUAGGGGCCCUCAUCGGGUUACCGAAUUCAGACAAACUCCGAAUGCCAAUGACUUAUCCGUGGGAGUCAGACUGCGAGUGAUAAGAUCCGUAGUCGAAAGGGAAACAGCCCAGACCACCAGCUAAGGUCCCAAAGUAUACGUUAAGUGGAAAAGGAUGUGGAGUUGCUUAGACAACCAGGAUGUUGGCUUAGAAGCAGCCACCAUUUAAAGAGUGCGUAAUAGCUCACUGGUCGAGUGACUCUGCGCCGAAAAUGUACCGGGGCUAAACGUAUCACCGAAGCUGUGGGUGGACAUCUUGCGAUGUCCGCGGUAGGAGAGCGUUCUAAGGGCGUUGAAGCCAGACCGUAAGGACUGGUGGAGCGCUUAGAAGUGAGAAUGCCGGUAUGAGUAGCGAAAGAUGGGUGAGAAUCCCAUCCACCGUAUGCCUAAGGUUUCCUGAGGAAGGCUCGUCCUCUCAGGGUUAGUCGGGACCUAAGCCGAGGCCGAAAGGCGUAGGCGAUGGACAACAGGUUGAUAUUCCUGUACCACCUCUUCAUCAUUUGAGCAAUGGGGGGACGCAGGAGGAUAGGGUAAGCGCGCUGCUGGAAUAGCGCGUCCAAGCAGUUAGGCUGGGAAAUAGGCAAAUCCGUUUCCCGUGAAGGCUGAGCUGUGACGGCGAGGGAAAUAUAGUACCGAAGUUCCUGAUUCCACACUGCCAAGAAAAGCCUCUAGCGAGAUGAAAGGUGCCCGUACCGCAAACCGACACAGGUAGGCGAGGAGAGAAUCCUAAGGUGAGCGAGAGAACUCUCGUUAAGGAACUCGGCAAAAUGACCCCGUAACUUCGGGAGAAGGGGUGCUUUUUAGGGUGUUAAAGCCCGGAAAAGCCGCAGUGAAUAGGCCCAGGCGACUGUUUAGCAAAAACACAGGUCUCUGCGAAGCCGCAAGGCGAAGUAUAGGGGCUGACGCCUGCCCGGUGCUGGAAGGUUAAGAGGAGGGGUUAGCUCACGCGAAGCUCUGAAUCGAAGCCCCAGUAAACGGCGGCCGUAACUAUAACGGUCCUAAGGUAGCGAAAUUCCUUGUCGGGUAAGUUCCGACCCGCACGAAAGGCGUAACGAUCUGGGCACUGUCUCAACGAGAGACUCGGUGAAAUUAUAGUACCUGUGAAGAUGCAGGUUACCCGCGACAGGACGGAAAGACCCCGUGGAGCUUUACUGCAGCCUGAUAUUGAAUUUUGGUACAGCUUGUACAGGAUAGGUAGGAGCCUUGGAAACCGGAGCGCCAGCUUCGGUGGAGGCGUCGGUGGGAUACUACCCUGGCUGUAUUGAAAUUCUAACCCGCGCCCCUCAUCGGGGCGGGAGACAGUGUCAGGCGGGCAGUUUGACUGGG
rnacentral:rRNA from 1 species